UAACCCAAAACCCGGCCCACAUCUCUAUUUUCGCUUUCCCUUAAGCAACCGACAACAACAGCAAUACAUCACCAGCCUUAAUAGCGUAUAACGCUGUACAACAACAAUUCAACAACGUACAGCAGUAACAAAAAUCACCACAAGAGCGUUCAAUAUCAACAAACCCGCAACAGCAAUAAACAACGACCACACCAGCUGCAGGCAAACGCAUUCCAGCAAACCAAAGUUGACCCGACCCGGCGCGAACACCAAAAAUUCAACCGAGCAAACCUCUCUCACUAUCUUAUCUCUGCAUUUUGCAGACCUAGGCCAUCUUUGUUGACUUUAGACUCAAGAUUGUGUGUCUUCAAUUUCAAAAUUUAAUUCAAAUCAGAAGAUAUCUGUUCAAAUUCAAAAUUUAAGGAUAUGUUUUUCUAUUUUUAAAGAUGGAAAAUUAAGAUCUUCCCCUAUUGGGAUUGAGGGGAAGAAGGCAAGGGAAGAUUUUUUGGGGAAAAAUUUGGAGAUUUUGAAGGAGCGUUCCUUUAAUCCCACGUAACCGAAAAUCCGUCAAAGCCAUUUAAAUUCCAGGGAAAAUCGAGUUAAAGUCGGAUUCUUUGAAGUCGCCGUCGUUAACUCGUUGCUUCAGUUCCUGCGGCUAAAAAGGUAAUACUUCCUCUAUUCUCGUUUUAUGCACUCACUGUUUAUUUGAUUUUGUUUGAAUCUGGUCUGUUAGUUUGAGUGCGAUUUGGUGUUUGGAUUAGUUUUUGAGGUGAUGGGUUUGACUGUUAGAAUGGAAUAGUGAGAAUCUGAAUGCAAACUCCCCUUUUGUGCUUCAUGAUUUUUACUGCGCAAUUUCUAGUUUGUUUGAGCCGUGAUUUCUGAUAGUAAUUCUUUCUUGUUGUUAAUAACAUUUAGACUCUUUUGGGAGAUUCUGGAUUAUUAUUAUGUUGUUCGUAGUGUUGGAUUUCGUGGUAGUGCGAAAAUGAGACUAGCUGCUUAGCUUAAGUUGUUCUAUAGAUUUAGAUUUUGAUGAAUUCUUGUGCGAUCUUCUUGUGUGCCAAGUACUUUAUUCCCUUGAAGUAGCUUGAAUAGCUUCCUUAUUAGAAGUUGGUACCUGGCAGUAAUAGAGGUUUUCUUUGUAUAUUGACUUUUGUUGAGAUUAUUAUCUGGGAACUAUUCUACUUUUCUUUUCUGCAUAUUGUAGCAAAGGUUUGACAUCAAUUUGAUUGUGUUCGAAAACAAUACAUGCUUUUGAAGUGAUAAAUUGUCUAUAUUAGCUCGUUUACAAAAAUUUUACCAGUGUAUCAAAGAAAUAUCAAGCUUGCAUUUUGUUUUCCUCUUUUAUCACCCAACUAUAACAUCUCCUUACCCAAUUUAUUAAUGAAAUAUGCUAAAAUGUCUCUCUUCGAUGUAAAGUAUAUUAAAGGGAUAUGAACAAAGGUCAUAAUUUGCAUUGUAAUUACAUAUCAUGAAUUUAUGUCUCAUGGCGAACAAAAGUGCACUAGUUUCGUCUCCCUUCUUUCGGUUAAUUCUUAUUGUAUGUUUGUAUGGAUACUAAUCCUUAUCUCAUUUUUUUUUGCAUGAACUCCCUCGUUUGAGUUUUUUGGACUCUUUCCUUGCAUCUUCAUUGGGUCCAACCCAACAUCGAGUCAAAACCUCAAGGCAAAGUCCUAAAAGGACUUUUCUUUACACUGGUAUACAGUGAUAUAGCAUUAGAGAGGCUGGUAUAGGGUAUAUGCGGCUGGAAACGGAAAAGAAAGCCGAUAUAUGGUUGGAGGGCUGAAAUUGUACAUACACGACUGAAAAUAUGGUCUGGAGGGCUGAAAUUGUACAUACACGACUGAAAAUAUGGUCUUGUAUACACCGUAUAUACACAUGAAAAAUGCAGAAAAAUACGGAUGGUAUACAUGUGGUAUACACUGCAGGAGAAUGGACCCAAAAGUUCAUAAAAUAAGAAGCCCAAAGGCUUGGCAGCUCAUUAAUAGGCCAACAAGUGGCCCAAUUCUAACUUUAAUCUCUUAUUUGCUUAUGAAUUGCAAUUUAUAUACUUGUCUAUUUAUAUUAGCACCAAUUUUACUUAAUUAGCCUAGUGAUUUUCCACGUUGUUGCCGUUUUGAUUUGUCUCAAAUUCCUCGUUUAUUUUAUGACUUUUCUCUCGUAAAUCAUAAAAAGAAAAAAAAAAAGAGUACUUUAGUACAAAAAAUGACAUUUGUUUUGAUCGUAUGAUUAAUGGUCCACUUGAGUUAAAAAUAAUUUUCUUAGUCAAUUCUCUUCUUAUGAAUCCUAACUUCUCACCGUAAUUGAGAAAAUGUUUUUAACAUGAUACUUAUCCAAUAAAAAUGAUCAUUUCUAUGAUAAUAAUAAACAUAAUUCUCUUCUUUAAUCCAAUUGGGCCACCUAGUUUAAAUAUAUUUUUUCUUAAUUCCAGAGAAAAUAAUAUUUCAUAAUUUUUUAGAAAUAAUUAUGAAUUAAGUAGAAUAUUUCUCAACUAAAGCAUUCCUAGAAUAUUUCUCAACUAAAGCAUUCCUUGAUUUUGUUUUCUCAAAUCCUAACUUUUCG
rnacentral:lncRNA from 1 species